AGCCUGGAGUUUGCUCAUCCCAUCUGAUUCCUGUCCUCCUGUACUACUCACAGCGAUAAAGAACAGCCAAGAUGCAGAUUGGAAGAGCAC